CCGCACAAGCGGUGGAGUAUGUGGUUAAUUCGAUGCAACGCGAAGACCUUACCUGGUCUUGACAUCCCGGAGACCCUUAGGAACAGGGGGUGCUUCCAUCUGGAAGAAUCUGGAGACAGGUGCUGCAUGGCUGUCGUCAGCUCGUGUCGUGAGAUGUUGGGUUAAGUCCCGCAACGAGCGCAACCCUUGCCUUUAGUUGCCAGCAGUUCGGCUGGGCACUCUAAAGGGACUGCCGGUGUUAAACCGGAGGAAGGUGGGGAUGACGUCAAGUCCUCAUGGCCUUUAUGACCAGGGCUACACACGUACUACAAUGGCCGAUACAAAGGGCAGCGACACUGCGAGGUGAAGCCAAUCCCGUAAAAUCGGUCUCAGUCCGGAUUGGAGUCUGCAACUCGACUCCAUGAAGUUGGAAUCGCUAGUAAUCGUGGAUCAGCAUGCCACGGUGAAUACGUUCCCGGGCCUU
rnacentral:rRNA from 1 species